UGCAAAUACUGAUAACACUGCGAUGGGU
rnacentral:sRNA from 1 species